rnacentral:rRNA from 1 species
UACGUAGGGGGCUAGCGUUAUCCGGAAUUACUGGGGCGUAAAGGGUGCGUAGGCGGUCUUUCAAGCCAGAAGUGAAAGACUACGGCUCAACCGUAGUAAGCUUUUGGAACUGUAAGACUUGAGUGCAGGAGAGGAGAGUGGAAUUCCUAGUGUAGCGGUGAAAUGCGUAGAUAUUAGGAGGAACACCAGUAGCGAAGGCGGCUCUCUGGACUGUAACUGACACUGAGGCACGAAAGCGUGGGGAGCAAACAGGAUUAGAUACCCGCGUAGUCCCUGA